AACAAACUGAGCACCAGGAAUGAACCACUACUACGACCUGGAGACAGAGUUGCACUUGUGUUCCCCAACAAUGAUCCUGUGAUGUUUAUGGUGGCGUUUUAUGCAUGCCUUCUAGCGGAGCUGGUGCCUGUGCCCAUAGAAGUGCCACUCACUCGAAAGGAUGCAGGCAGUCAGCAGGUGGGGUUUCUGUUGGGCAGCUGUGGGGUCACUCUGGCCCUGACCACUGAUGCCUGUCAGAAGGGCCUGCCCAAAGCACAGACCGGAGAAGUUGUCACU